UCUGGGCACAGUGGUGCACGCCUGUAAUCCCAGUGACUUGGAGGCUGAGGCAGGAGGAUCACAUGUUUGAGGCCAGCCUCAGCCAUUUAGCAAGACCCUGUCUCAA
rnacentral:sRNA from 1 species